rnacentral:misc_RNA from 1 species
AAGUCGUAACAAGGUUUCCGUAGGUGAACCUGCGGAAGGAUCAUUAACAGUGUUUGGGAAAGGGGGGUUUGUUUGCUUUGCCUUGCUUUGCGGACAGACAGACCCCCGCCCUAAUAUGCGAUGGCUCGAAAGGGCCGUCACAAAAACUAUCAUAUCAUACGACUUAACAACUAUAAAACAAAAGUACAACUUUUAACAAUGGAUCUCUUGGUUCCC